rnacentral:lncRNA from 1 species
AAGAAAUCAUAAAAUCCAUUAUCAACUGCACCAGCCUUAGUAAAAUGUUUUAAAUAUCUCACUCAUUUGAUGAUUACAUAAAUCAUAGAUACUUAUUCGCCCACUCAUCACCUUCGUCAACACAAGCAUACAUACGUUCAUAAUCCCAUAGCUCGACAAUCACACUUAAUAAGCCACAUAUGUCUGCCACAAAAACAACCGAGGACAUAGUUUUUGCCUAUCAUUAAUUAAUUUCAUGCAUGGUCAUAUAGUUUCUAGAUAAUGUAGUUGGAAUAGUAAUUAGUUUCACGACCACUGCAAUUUAUAUGAUGCAAUACAUAUCUACAAUAACUUGUGAACGUGACAUGCUAAUACUAUCGGAUAAUCAUAUACUCCGGCAAAUAAGUUUGUGUACAUGAAUACAUCUCAAUCUCCCACGUUCUCUAACCACAUUCACACCUAAUAGUUGCUCGGAAAUUUAGACAGAAUUUCCGAUUUGUAUUAAAAUUCAAAAUUAUUUAUUUAUGCGUUUCGGUCUCUUAUGGAUACACUAUUGUAAAUCACUUUCAGGCAAUUAACAUUUUCUUUGCAUUUUUCAAAAAUAAACAUGUCAUGUUUGAAUGUUAAGUGUUCUUAAGAAAAGUUUCCAAACGGAAAACUUUACUUUAGUGAUGUAUAUGUGUAAUUAGUACGUAGCCAAGCACUAUGAAUCGACUAUAUAUACAUCAAAAAAAAACUAAGUUACAAAAGUCUAGGAUUGCCGCCAUUACUUGGUAUAUAUUGUCUGCUUCCGUGGAAAUUUCAUUAAUAUUGAAAACAUAGUGAAAAAUAGGAGAAGAGAACGACAGUAAUUAAAACCAACUUGAAAUCAAUUUCUGCUGUAAAUAAGAGGGUGGGAGAAUUCAAAAAUCUUAAAAGUAACUUUUAUAUAUAUUUUGUUAUUUUAAACUAUGGAAGGGCUUGGGACGAUGGCCCUUAGGGGAGAAGAAGUAAAAUCACACUUCGCUCUUAACACUUACGGGAGGGAAUUGAGGUCGCAUGAGGUAUCCACGUCCAUUUAAAUCUCGAGGAAAUAGGACUGAUAGUUUAAGGAAAUUAAAAGAUAACUAGUUACCAGUCUAAUUAACUAAACUAAACCAGAUCAGUGUAGAUCCAAACUAAUGAAACCCAAGAUCGAGAAUAGACCAUCGUAUUAUUCCCCUUUGAAUCGUCCAAAAACUUCUAAAAAUAUUUCAAAUUUUAUGGGACGAUUGUCUACCGGGUUAGGUGAAAAACAAAUGAAAUUUGGCAAAUAGGUCACAUCACUACGAUUAAUCAAUGUUGAGACAAAUUUUAUGGGACGAAUGUCUACGGGUUAAGCGUAUCUUAACAGGUGUUGUGAUUUUUGACCAAAAAAAACAGGUGAUGUGAUUAAUCAACGGACCAUAAAAAGUUGUACGUACAUAUUUAACGUAACAGCAAUACAGCAUAACAAGUAAAACUUGUACGUAAGAAGCGUAAAUAGCAUAAGUGAACAAAACUUUUGGUGCCCUAAUUUCGUAGAAUGACAAGUCAAACUUAAUAAUUUUCAAGUGUUUAGUUUGAAUAAGUGUAUAUUUUGAUAUAUCUUGCAAUUUUAGGCACAGAAUGAAGUUCUGCGGGUUUAAAAUGGCAAAAAUAUGUAAAAUAUAUACUAGCUCGCUCAGUCACAUAUAAUCAUUUUCUAAUAUUUGCAUUAGGAAUUUUCUUUCAUCCAAUGGUUUAGAUUGUAAAGAUUUUAACAUUAGGAUGUUAUAUUAUCCAAAAUGGGUGAUUUUACUUUACUUCCCAAAAUAUGUGGUGAACAUGUCACAUAUCUUUCGUUGUUAAUACUUAAUAGCUUAUUGUUUGACGUAAAAGUCCUAAAACGUGUACUAAUUUUCAAUCAAAAAUAAAAUAUAUAAUGUGCACAUGUUGAUUUGACAAUUCUAGGGGGUGGGGUAGGGGGAACUAGUGAUCCUAAAUUUAUCUCCUAUAAAUAGACGUCUAGGUUAGAUCAAAUAAAACAAGUGACCACAACAGAAAGUGAACUCUAACUUGAGAAUCAUGGAUCAAAUCAUCCUCAACUCAAACCCUUUCCUUUUAACUCUUUUCGCAUUACUUCCAGUUCUCUUCUUCGCAAUUGUCAAAAAUAAGAUCAAAUCGAAAAAGCUAAACCUUCCUCCAUCUCCCUCAAAACUUCCACUCAUUGGAAACCUUCAUCAAAUAGGUAACCUACCUCACAACUCACUCCACGACCUCUCACUCAAACA